rnacentral:rRNA from 1 species
UACGAGGGGGGCAAGCGUUGUUCGGAUUCACUGGGCGUAAAGGGUGCGUAGGUGGUGAGGUAAGUCGGAUGUGAAAUCUCCGAGCUCAACUCGGAAAUGGCAUUGGAAACUACCUUGCUCGAGGGUUGGAGGGGGGACUGGAAUGCUUGGUGUAGCAGUGAAAUGCGUAGAUAUCAAGCGGAACACCAGUGGCGAAGGCGAGUCCCUGGACAACUCCUGACACUGAGGCACGAAAGCUAGGGGAGCAAACAGG